UGCAUUCAGUCAGAACUUCUGGGUCUGCUCUAAUCUCCCUCCCAAUAUGUCUCUCGCGCUAGACGGCUUACUUCCGCACGUGAGACUAGAUCUGCUCUAUCAGGUACAGAAGGCGCUAAAGCAAAAAGCUAAUUGUAAUUAACUUGUAAAUAAAUCAUCAAAACAGUCAUGGGAGCCUGGGACCUGAUAAACCGGACAUCUACAUCUAACAAGAGUCGAAGGAAAGAGGGAUACACUAGCUAGAACCUUCUCAUUGCGGAUCUGGUAGGACAAAAAAGCUUGACGGUGGCUUAUUGUUUCCCCCCAUGUUGUUCAUCAGGUUCUGCUGUAGGUGACAGGGCGACAUGUUGUGUGGACUAAAACAGCAUAAAACCAGCUCUCAAGCUCCGGCACUCGACGUCGCGGAUUACUAACCACCGGUCCUGGCAACCUAUCAUUACGCACACCUGGCAACCAUCAUUAUGAACACCUGCGCCCCAUCAUCAUGCACACCUGGACUUCAUCACCACCUUGAUUACUUCCCCUUUAUCUAGCACUCUGUAGCCUCACUCAUCAGGCAGUACUGGUUUUGUUUUCAUUUCCAGACGUUUCUCUUGUUUUGUAUCGCUCCAUGUUUGUUGUUAUUAAACUCACCAACUGCACCUGC